CACCCUCCUGAAACUUGCUUACCCUUACAGUGUUUUGGGUGACAGUCACAUGAGCUGACAUAUGUGGAAGGUGCUUUGUAAGCUGGGAAGAGGCCUGUGCGUGCAGGAAAGCAUGCUCCGUUGUGUGAAAGUGAUAGAUGGGUGACUGUGUGCACUUGUGGGCAGAGUUCGCAAGAGUGCAGGGAACGGGAGCUUUCAACACGGCUAUGAAGACAGUGCUCGCUCUCUUCCCUGGCCCCUCAACCGUGUCAGGACCGAUUUCUCGUGUUGGCCAGAGAUGGGAUGGAAGAGAUGGCAGAAGAGGUGAGGCAUGAGGAGGACUCCCGCCACCAUUGCUGGCUUUGAAGAUGAAGAGGCCCACAAGCCAAAGAGUGUGGUGUGGCUUUUAGAAGCUGAGGACAACACUAGCCCAACAGCCAGCAAGGAAAUGGGGGCCUCAGUCCUGUAAAUGCAUGGACCUAAAUUCUGCCGACAGCCUGCAUGAGCCAGCGAUUACGUUCUCCCCCAGAGCCUUCAGGAAGGAAAGCAGUCCUGCCACCGUGGUUUUAGCCUGGUUUCAGUAAAUACUCCCCCACACGUUUGGAAGUGGAUUUUGUAAUGAGCCUGUGAGACGUGGAGGUGAGGAUGCAAAAGAAGUUGAGCAUCAGUCAAGGCAAGUGCUAAUUGCUUGUUCCUUGGUCUCUCCUACUACAGAGAACACUAUGACAGUUAUU